rnacentral:rRNA from 1 species
UACAGAGGUCCCAAGCGUUGUUCGGAUUCACUGGGCGUAAAGGGUGCGUAGGUGGCCAGGUAAGUUUGGUGUGAAAGCUCGGAGCUUAACUCCGAAAAGUCAUUGAAUACUAUCUGGCUGGAGGGUCGGAGGGGAGACUGGAAUUCUCGGUGUAGCAGUGAAAUGCGUAGAUAUCGAGAGGAACACCAGUGGCGAAGGCGGCUAUCUGGACGACAACUGACGCUGAGGCGCGAAAGCGUGGGAUCAAACAGG